rnacentral:rRNA from 1 species
UACGGAGGGUGCGAGCGUUGUCCGGAAUCAUUGGGCGUAAAGGGCGCGUAGGUGGCCACUUCAAGCGUGCGGUGAAAGUCGGGGGCUCAACCCCUGAUUGGCCGUGCGAACUGGGGGGCUGGAGCACUGUAGAGGCAGGCGGAAUUCCGGGUGUAGCGGUGGAAUGCGUAGAGAUCCGGAAGAACACCGGUGGCGAAGGCGGCCUGCUGGGCAGUUUUGCUGACACUGAGGCGCGACAGCGUGGGGAGCAAACAGG